rnacentral:rRNA from 1 species
AGAGUUUGAUCCUGGCUCAGGACGAACGCUGGCGGCGCGCCUAACACAUGCAAGUCGAACGAGCGAGAGAGAGCUUGCUUUCUCAAGCGAGUGGCGAACGGGUGAGUAACGCGUGAGGAACCUGCCUCAAAGAGGGGGACAACAGUUGGAAACGACUGCUAAUACCGCAUAAGCCCACAGCUCGGCAUCGAGCAGAGGGAAAAGGAGCAAUCCGCUUUGAGAUGGCCUCGCGUCCGAUUAGCUAGUUGGUGAGGUAAUGGCCCACCAAGGCGACGAUCGGUAGCCGGACUGAGAGGUUGAACGGCCACAUUGGGACUGAGACACGGCCCAGACUCCUACGGGAGGCAGCAGUGGGGAAUAUUGCACAAUGGGGGAAACCCUGAUGCAGCGACGCCGCGUGGAGGAAGAAGGUUUUCGGAUUGUAAACUCCUGUCGUUAGGGACGAUAAUGACGGUACCUAACAAGAAAGCACCGGCUAACUACGUGCCAGCAGCCGCGGUAAAACGUAGGGUGCAAGCGUUGUCCGGAAUUACUGGGUGUAAAGGGAGCGCAGGCGGACCGGCAAGUUGGAAGUGAAAUCUAUGGGCUCAACCCAUAAAUUGCUUUCAAAACUGCUGGCCUUGAGUAGUGCAGAGGUAGGUGGAAUUCCCGGUGUAGCGGUGGAAUGCGUAGAUAUCGGGAGGAACACCAGUGGCGAAGGCGACCUACUGGGCACCAACUGACGCUGAGGCUCGAAAGCAUGGGUAGCAAACAGGAUUAGAUACCCUGGUAGUCCAUGCCGUAAACGAUGAUUACUAGGUGUUGGAGGAUUGACCCCUUCAGUGCCGCAGUUAACACAAUAAGUAAUCCACCUGGGGAGUACGACCGCAAGGUUGAAACUCAAAGGAAUUGACGGGGGCCCGCACAA